rnacentral:rRNA from 1 species
AGGACGAACGCUGGCGGCGUGCUUAACACAUGCAAGUCGAGCGGAAAGGCCCUUCGGGGUACUCGAGCGGCGAACGGGUGAGUAACACGUGAGCAACCUGCCCUUAGCUCUGGGAUAGCUCCGGGAAACCGGAAUUAAUACCGGAUAUUACACCGGCUGGCAUCGGCUGGUGUGGAAAGAUUUAUCGGCUAAGGAUGGACUCGCGGCCUAUCAGCUUGUUGGUGGGGUAGAAGCCUACCGAAGGCGACGACGGGUA